GCCUACAUGAAGUCGGAAUUGCUAGUAAUCGCGGAUCAGCAUGCCGCGGUGAAUACGUUCCCGGGCCUUGUACACACCGCCCGUCACACCAUGGGAGUCGGUAACACCCGAAGCCGAUAGUCUAACGAAGAGGACGUCGUCGAAGGUGGGAUUGAUGACUGGGGUGAAGUCGUAACAAGGUAUC
rnacentral:rRNA from 1 species